rnacentral:rRNA from 1 species
UACAGACAGUGCAAGUGUUAUUCGUCUUUAUUGGGCGUAAAGGGUAUGUAGGUGGUUCUCAAAACUUGGUCUGAAAUGCUAGAGUUAAAACUUUAGAAUAGGGCUUAAAGAUUACUGAACUAAAAGAGUUAAAAAGAGGUUGUGGAAGAAUUUCUUAACUAUUUAGAGUUAAAACACUAGGCAUCUAAGACAGACUACCUUAUGCGAAGGCGUCUCUCCAUUUUUAACUGACACUGAGGUACUGGAAGCCUAGGUAAUCAACCGG